AGAGUUUGAUCAUGGCUCAGGACGAACGCUGGCGGCGUGCCUAAUACAUGCAAGUCGAACGCUUCUUUUCCCACCGGAGCUUGCUCCACCGGGAAAAGAGGAGUGGCGAACGGGUGAGUAACACGUGGGUAACCUGCCCAUCAGAAGGGGAUAACACUUGGAAACAGGUGCUAAUACCGUAUAACAAUCGAAACCGCAUGGUUUCGUUUUGAAAGGCGCUUUACGGUGCCGCUGAUGGAUGGACCCGCGGUGCAUUAGCUAGUUGGUGAGGUAACGGCUCACCAAGGCCACGAUGCAUAGCCGACCUGAGAGGGUGAUCGGCCACAUUGGGACUGAGACACGGCCCAAACUCCUACGGGAGGCAGCAGUAGGGAAUCUUCGGCAAUGGACGAAAGUCUGACCGAGCAACGCCGCGUGAGUGAAGAAGGUUUUCGGAUCGUAAAACUCUGUUGUUAGAGAAGAACAAGGGUGAGAGUAACUGUUCACCCCUUGACGGUAUCUAACCAGAAAGCCACGGCUAACUACGUGCCAGCAGCCGCGGUAAUACGUAGGUGGCAAGCGUUGUCCGGAUUUAUUGGGCGUAAAGCGAGCGCAGGCGGUUUCUUAAGUCUGAUGUGAAAGCCCCCGGCUCAACCGGGGAGGGUCAUUGGAAACUGGGAGACUUGAGUGCAGAAGAGGAGAGUGGAAUUCCAUGUGUAGCGGUGAAAUGCGUAGAUAUAUGGAGGAACACCAGUGGCGAAGGCGGCUCUCUGGUCUGUAACUGACGCUGAGGCUCGAAAGCGUGGGGAGCAAACAGGAUUAGAUACCCUGGUAGUCCACGCCGUAAACGAUGAGUGCUAAGUGUUGGAGGGUUUCCGCCCUUCAGUGCUGCAGCUAACGCAUUAAGCACUCCGCCUGGGGAGUACGACCGCAAGGUUGAAACUCAAAGGAAUUGACGGGGGCCCGCACAAGCGGUGGAGCAUGUGGUUUAAUUCGAAGCAACGCGAAGAACCUUACCAGGUCUUGACAUCCUUUGACCACUCUAGAGAUAGAGCUUCCCCUUCGGGGGCAAAGUGACAGGUGGUGCAUGGUUGUCGUCAGCUCGUGUCGUGAGAUGUUGGGUUAAGUCCCGCAACGAGCGCAACCCUUAUUGUUAGUUGCCAUCAUUUAGUUGGGCACUCUAGCAAGACUGCCGGUGACAAACCGGAGGAAGGUGGGGAUGACGUCAAAUCAUCAUGCCCCUUAUGACCUGGGCUACACACGUGCUACAAUGGGAAGUACAACGAGUCGCGAAGUCGCGAGGCUAAGCUAAUCUCUUAAAGCUUCUCUCAGUUCGGAUUGUAGGCUGCAACUCGCCUACAUGAAGCCGGAAUCGCUAGUAAUCGCGGAUCAGCACGCCGCGGUGAAUACGUUCCCGGGCCUUGUACACACCGCCCGUCACACCACGAGAGUUUGUAACACCCGAAGUCGGUGAGGUAACCUUUUUGGAGCCAGCCGCCUAAGGUGGG
rnacentral:rRNA from 1 species